UCCUACUUGGUGAUGGUGGAUUAUUUUUUUGAUAUGUUGUUGAAUUCUACUGGCUCGAAUUUUGUUGAGGAUUUUUGCAUCUAUGUUCAUGAGGGAUAUAGGUCUGUAAUUUUCUUUUUUUGUGUUGUCUUUAGCUGGUUUUGGUAUCAGGGUUAUUCUGGCUUCAUAGAAGGAGUUAGGUAGUAUUCCGUCCUUUUCUAUGCUUUGAAAUACCUUCAGUAGUAGUGGUAAGUCUUCCCUGAAAGUUUGGUAGAACUUUGCAGUGAAGCCAUCAGGGCCAGGGCUUUUUUUUGUUGGGAGUGUUUUGAUUACCUUUUCAAUCUCUUUUAUUGUUAUGGGUGUAUUUAGUUGUUCUACUUCAGUUUGUGUUAGUUUAGGUAGGUAGUGUGUUUCUAGGAAUUCAUCCAUUUUUUCUAGGUUUUCAAAUUUGUUGGAAUACAAUUUUUUGUAGUAAUCUGAUAUGAUUGUUUUAAUUUCAGUUGGAUCUGUUGUGAUAUGGCCCAUCCCAUUUCUUAUUUGGAUUAUUGGUUUGUUUUCCUGUAUUUCUUUAGUCAGUCUGGCUAAUGGUUUAUCAAUUUUGUUCAUUUUUUCAAAGAAGCAGUUUUUGGCCUUGUUAACUCUUUCAAUUGUUUUUCUAUUCUCUAAUUCAUUUAAUUUUGCUGUAGUUUUUAUUUUUUGCUUUCUUUUGGUGCCUGACAGUUCCUUUUGUUGCUCUCUUUCUCUUUGUUCAAGUUGUAGGGACAGUUCUUUCAUUUUGGCUCUUCUUUAAUAUGUGUGCCUUUAUUGAUAUAAAUUGACCUCUGAGCACUGCUUUCACCAUGUCCCAAAGGUUUUCAUAGGAAGUGUUUUCAGUCUUGUUGAAUUCUGUGAAUUUCUUUAUUCCCUCCUUAAGGUCUUCCAUAACCCAGUCUUUUUUGAGCAGGGCAUUGUGCAGUUUCCAAGCAUUUGAUUUCUUUUCCCUGGUUUUUCUGUUAUUGAUUUUUGCUUUUAUGGUCUUUUGUUCAGAGAAGAUGUUUUAUAAUAUUUCAAUGUUUUGGGUUCUGCAAAGGCUUGUUUUAUGACCUAAUAUGUGAUCUAUUCUAGAGAAUGUUUCAUGUGCACUAGAAAAGAAAUUAUAGUUUGCAGCUGUUGGGUGGAGUGUUCUGUAUAAGUCUAUGAAGUGAAGUUGUUUAAUUGUAGCACUUAGAUCUUCCGUGUCUCUAUUGAGCUUCUUACUGCAUUUCCUAUCCUUCACCGAGAGUGUUGUGUUGAAGUCUCCUGCUAUAAUUGUGGAGGUGUCUAUCUCACUUUUUAAUUCUGUUAACAUUUGUUUUAUGAAUGUUGCGGCCCUAUCAUUGGGUGCAUAAAUAUUUAAUACGGUUAUAUGUACCUGGUAAAUUGUCCCUUUAAUCUUUAUGUAGUGUCCUUCUUUAUCCUUUGUGGUGGAUUUAAUUUUAAAGUCUAUUUUGUUGGAAAUUAAUAUUGCCUCUCCUGCUCUUUUUUGAUUGUUGUUUGCUUGAUAUAUUUUUAUCCAUCCUUUCAGUUUUGGUUUAUUUGUGUCUCUUAACUCUAAAGCGUGUCUCUUUUAGGAAGCAUACAGACUGAUCGUGUUUUUUUAUCCAGUCUGCAACUUUCUGUCUCUUUAUUGGUGAAUUUAGUCCAUUUACAUUAAGUGUAAUUAUAGAUAAGUAUGAGUUUAGUGCUGUCAUUUUGAUGCCUGUUUUUGACAAUUUCAUUUUCCAUUUACCUUUUUGUGCUGAGUUUUUCUUUGUAGAAUGUGUGUUCUUCCUUUUUAUAGUAGUUGAAUUUAUUUUGGUGAGUCGUUAUGUUUAUCUUGGUUUUUAUUUUGAAGUAUGGAAUUGUUAGACCUUGUUGUGGUUACCUUAAUAUUUACCCUGGUUUGAGUAAGUAAAAACCUAAGUUGUUUCGCCCUGUAUCACCUUGGUUUCCUCUCCAUAUGUAAUUUCUAAGCCUCCUGUAUUUAGUCCCUCUUUUUUCACUAUCGUAAUCUUUUACAUAAUCACAUCAAUGAUUCCCUGUUUUGAGUAAUUUUUUUAAUUAAUCUUAUUUUGUUUUUGUGAUUUCCGUAUCUGGGUUGAUAUCAGGAUGUUUUGUUCUGUGACCUUGUGUUGUGUUGGUAUCUGAUAUUAUUGAUUUUCUGACCAAAGAAUUUCCUUCAGUAAUUCUUGCAGUUUUGGUUUGGUUUUUGCAAAUUCUCUAAGCUUGUGUUUAUCUGUAAAUAUCUUAAUUUCACCUUCAUGUUUUAGAAUUUUGCUGGAUAUAUGAUUGUUCGCUGACAGUUUUUCCUCUUUCAGUGCUCUAUAUAUGUUAUCCCAUUGUCUUCUUGCCUGCAUGGUUUCUGCCGAGUAGUGCAAACUUAUUGAUUCUCCUUUGUAGGUAACUUUUCGUUUAUCCUUGGGUGCUUUUGAAAUUUCUCUUUAUCUUUGGUUUUGGCAGGUUUGAUGAUAUGUCUUGGUGAUUUUCUUUUGGGAUCUAUCUUGUAUGAGGUUCGAUGAGCAUCUUGGGUAGAUAUCUUUUCAUCUUUCACAAUGCCAGGGAAUUUUUCUGCCAUCAGAUCUUCCACUGUUCUCUCUGUAUUUUCUGUUAUCCCUCCCUGUUCUGGAACUCCAAUCACACGCAAAUUACUCUUGAUAGAGUCCCCCAUGAUCCUUAGGGUUUCUUCAUAGUUUUAAAUUCUAUUUGAUUUUUCUUCAACUAUAUUUGUGUCAAUUGUCUUAUCCUCCAGCUCCCCCACUCUGCAUUCCAGUUCCUCGAUUCUGCUCCUGUGACUUCCUAUUGAGUUGUCUGAUUCUGUGACUUUAUUGUUAAUCUUUUGGAUUUCUGAAUGCUGUCUCUCUAUGGAUUCUUACAGCUUAUUAAUUUUUUCACUAUGUUGUUGAAUAAUCUUUUGGAUAUCUUUAACUGCUUUAUCCGUGUAUUCCUUGGUGUUUUCUGUAGAUUGCCUUAUUUCAUUUGUGAGGUCAUUCCUGAUGUCUUGAAGAAUUCUGUAUAUAAUUUUUUUAUAUUCUACAUUUGGCAAUUCUAGGAAUGUAUCUACAUCUGGGAAUGAUUUUGAUUCUUUGAUUUGGGGGUUUGUAGAAGCAAUCAUGGUCUGCUUCUUCAUGUGAUUUGAUGUCGACUGCUGUCUCUGAGCCAUCUAUAAGAUAUUGUAAUAUUUUCUUUUAUAUUUGCUCACUGAGUCUUAUCUUCUUAUUUUGUUUUGUUACAAGACACCCAGAUGGGCUACUAGAUUGUGGUAUCGUGAUUGAUUUAGCUUUUGAAUCACUUACGUCCUAUUACCAGCUUGCCUGAGCUGUUACCAGGUAUAUAAGUGUAUGAGUCCAUUCACUAUUCUUGAAUAGAAUCAGCUCAGGUGUCCUGAUAGCUGGUCACCUAGUGUGUGGUGUAGGCUCUCACGUAUUAUCUUAGAGGAGUAGUGGUGAUGGUUGUAUGCACCAGUUUCUAUUAGUGGCAUGGGGUCACAUUUCGAGGAGGGCAGGAUGCUGACAGCCUUCCUUCAAGUGACAGUGAGGUAGGUGUGGCUCUAUUCUCUAGAGCACUCUGGUGCGUGGGCUUUGCAGCUGUAUCUUAGGCACCCAAUGCUUGGGUAGGCGUCACUAUUCUCAGACCCCUCUAGCAGGUGGCUAGGUGAUGUGGGUGGAGUCUCAGCCCUCAGUUCACUGGUGUGGAUCAGCGAGGGCUCUGUUUAAUAGGUAGAGAGGUAUCUGACCUCCAAAACUUGCCUUUCCACUGCUGAGCUAAAACAAUUAUGGUCAGAUCUCUAUCAGAAUUGCCUUUACAUUGUAAUAGCCACCUAGUUACCUGUAGGGUGAAAGCCAAAGACUAUGGGUCUGUUAAUGCCUGGAUGGAGCUGAUUCUGUACUGUUAUUUCAGUUUAGGGAAGUCAGGGAAGGAUUUUUUCUUUGAUUGUUAAAUGCUGCUUUUCUCAGGCCAGGAGAAUGGGUUAGAAAAGAAAGAAGAAAAAAAAUCCAGCAGUGCACUUCACUCUCUGGCACAGAGAAUUCCAAUGUUAAUGAAGCUGGCUGGGGCAAUGAGGGGUGGAAUCAGAUAUAUAGAAGAGAGUAGCCUGGCAAAAUAUAGAAAGUUACUUAUGUUGUUUGGUGAGGACUGUUUUUUCUGAGAUUCCAGAGCAUUGUGUCGCUCGUGUGUGGUGGCUGGAUCCCUGCUGAGACUGUCCCAGAGGGUUAGGGCUGCGUCCAUGCUCACACCGUCUCAGGAAGCCACAAUCGGCUCCCCCACACUUAGUCCAAAGCCCAGCACCAGGGUUUCCUUUCUGGGACGCUGCACUCCAGGCUCCAGAACCAGUCGCUGCUUCCCUAUAGUUUUUCGUUUCCCUGUCAGCCACGUCUGUGUGGAGCCUGUGUGUGCUGCCUGGGUCCCCUCUGAGGUUGGUCCUGAGGGUUGGGCCUAUAUCUGUUCUUCCGUGUCUCAGUAAGCCACAAUCAGCCCCACCACUCUGACACCAGGAAACCACGAGGGCUCAAGGCUGUGGCGUGGGACACUGGCUCUGGAAGUGGUCCCUGCUGCAGCGUGGCUUUUCGCUCCCCCGUCACUCAGGUCAACUCCUUAGUUCUGUGUUUGAUGGUCAGGGUUUGUAGAUUGUCCUUUAUGUAAUCAGUUCACUUGUUUUUUCGAGUCUUUGUUUCAAGAGGGAUAAGCGGAAUCUUCUACCUAGUGAGCCAUCUUGGUCCUGCCCCCGUGUCUGCCUCUUUAUGUGAUUUGAUAUUGACUGUUGUCUCUGAGCCAUCUGUAAGUUAUUGUAUUAGUUUAUUUUAUGCUUGCUUUUUGUAUCCUAGCUUCUUGCUUUGUUUAGUUUUGCUAUACCCAAAUAAGCUGCUUGAGUGCACUAGGUUGAUUAUUUUCACCUUUGAAGCUCUAAUGUACUAUCACCAGAUGGCUAGCACUGUUACCAGGCAUAUGAGCCUAGGAGUUCAUUUAUUUUUCUUGUAUGGAUUCAACUCAGGUGCCCAGGUAGUUGGUCAUAAAGUGUGUGGUACGGGCUCUGUCCUACAGUCUUAAAGGGGCAGGGGUCAUUGGUGUAGGCAGAAGUAUCUGGCUGCAGUAGGGGGUAAGGCUCUGAUCAAGGCAGGGGUCUGACAGCUGUGCUCUGAGUGUCUGUGAGGAAAGUGCAUCCCUGUUCUGUAGAGCACAUGGGUGGGUUCUGCAGAAGGGCAGUGGGUACCCAAUGCUUUUGGUUGUAAGUUCUGGGCGGUACUACUUAUCCUUGGAGCCCUAUCACAGGUGGCUAGGUAUUGUGGGUGGAGCCAGCAGUCCUUAUGCCCCUGAUGUGGGUAGGUGAAGACCCUGUUUAAUAGGCAAAGCAGUGUCAAACAUCAAAUACCCAUCUUUCCACCGUUCAGGUGAAACAGUUGCAGUCUGGCAACAAGGGCCUAUUCUCCUGAAAUGGGCCCACACAGGUCCAUGCUGGGGUGAAAGGUAUUCAAAGCCCAUGGACUGUUUGUGCCUGAACAAGAGCUGCUUCUGUCCUGAGCUCCCCAGCUUAAUUGAGCUGGCAGAUUAUCUUUCCCCCAGUUGUGAACUUAUACCUUCUUCAAGGAUGGAAAAAUGGCUCAGAGUGGUACCAGGGCCUAUCUCAGGCCCAGGGAAGUUGACAGCCACUGAAGCCGGCUUGGGGGCUGGGGGCGUGGUAAAAUAAACACAAGUAAUUAGCUUUUGCUGAGAGUGCCGUUCUUCUCUUGUUCUGGAGGUGUGAGUAGUCUGUGCAACUUGCUGUCCUUCCCUGAGCUAAACGCCUGUGGAACGCCACUGCCAGCCCCACUGCAGUCGCUCCAGGGAACGGUGCCUGAGGGUUCCUGGCUAUUCAGGUCCAGUAACUCCUCUCCACUUCUGAAUAGUCUCUCCCUCCCCCUGCCGCUGAGUCCAUUUUCUAACUUUACCUUUGAUGUUCAGGGCUCCUAGCUUCUCAUAAAUAUAAUCGCUUCACUUGUUUUUUCUGGUCUUUUUUGUAAGAGGGAUCACUGGUGGCGUCUCAAUACUCAAAACUUCAUCAUUUCUUCCUUUCACUUUAGCUACUCGACAUUCAAGAGCAACGUUCAGAGUCUCUUCCGACAUCCGUUUUGGUCUUUUCUUUCUUUCCUGUCUUUUAAAGGAUCUCUUGCUUUCUUCAUGUGUGAUGUCCUUGAUGUCAUUCCACAACUCGUCUGGUCUUCAGUCGUUAGUGUUCAACACGUAAAAUGUGUUCUUGAGGUGGUCUCUAAAUACAGGUGAGAUAUACUCAAGGUCAUAUUUUGGCCCCUUUUGACUUAUUCUAAUUUUCUUCAGUUUCAACUUGAACUCCCAUAUGAGCAAUUGACAGUCUGUUUCACAAUUGAUCCCUGGCCUUGUUCUGACUGAUGAUAUGAGUUUUCCCAUCUUCUCUUUCCACAGAUGUAGUCAGUUUGAUUCCUGUGUAUUCCAUCUGGUAAAGUCCACGUGUAUAGCUGCCGUUUAUGUUGGUGAAAAAAAAUAUUUGCAGUGGAUGAGUCACUGGUCUUGCAGAAUUCUUUCAUGAGAUUUCUGGUGUCAUUUAUUUCAUCGAUGCUGUAUUUUCCAACUACUUUUCCUUCUUUGUUUCCAACUUUAACAUUCUAAUGACCAGUAAUUAUCAAUGCAUCUUGAUUGCAUGUUUGAUCAAUUUCAGGCUGCAGAAGUUGUUUAAAAUCUUCAAUUUCUUUAUCUUUGGCAUUAGUGGUUGGUGCAUAAAUUUGAAUAGUCGUAUAAACUAGUCUUCCUUGUAAGUGUAUGGAUUUUAGCCUAUUAGUGACAACAUUGUACUUCAGGCUAGAUCUUGAAAUGUUCUCUUUGAUGAUAUGUAACGUCAUUCUUUUGACUCUAGUGGAAUAUCCAUGUUUGUAAGACUGCUCACAGACUGUUUCACCAGAGAGUUUUCUGGUACUGCAACAUCUACCACUAAUCUCUGUGAUCCCUGUGAAUUGGCAAAAUAAGAAUAGUGCUAUAGAUUUCUUCCAAAUACAGAAAACAUAAGUAUGAAAAUGUUCUUGCUAUUGAUUAUGUUCUUUACCAAUCUGUUUGUGUGGGAUUUUUGGUACUUCACUUGAAAAAUGAGUCCAAGGUACUGUGAUGUGAUUGUUUACUUUGUGUGGCCUUUCUAGCCAUGGUCUUAUAACAUCCACCCUGGUGCUUGGGCAGGACUGUGUGAUAGGGUAAUUGUGGCUCACCAAGGGGAUUGUUUAUUUUCCCUUCAAAGAGAACCAGUUCCAGAGCAAAGAGGAGGAUUCAACUCCCAUCAAGGAAGAACAGCCAAGAGCCGAGCGUAUAUUAUGGACCUGAGAUCCCUGCACUGAGAAGCUCCUAGAAGCAAGAGACUGAGAUAGAGAGAGGAAGCUGUAACCCUGAAGAUGCUUAAAUACAGACCAGAAGAGGAGUUUGGGGCUUGACACCUGACAUCUUAACACCAGUUCCUGUUUCUUGAGGAAGGAAGAGGUAAAAUAAAUCAGCGUUUACUGUUUCCUUCUCCAUCCCCGGAAGUCCUGAUGAAGACCCUCUCAGAGAACCAGUUCCAGAGCAAAGAGGAGGAUUCAACUCCCAUCAAGGAAGAACAGCCAAGAGCCGAGCGUAUAUUAUGGACCUGAGAUCCCUGCACUGAGAAGCUCCUAGAAGCAGGAGACUGAGAUAGAGAGAGGAAGCUGUAACCCUGAAGAUGCUUAAAUACAGACCAGAAGAGGAGUUUGGGGCUUGACACCUGACAUCUUAACACCAGUUCCUGUUUCUUGAGGAAGGAAGAGGUAAAAUAAAUCAGCGUUUACUGUUUCCUUCUCCAUCCCCGGAAGUCCUGAUGAAGACCCUCUCAGGAGGGAAGAGGUAAAAAAGAAGGCAGUGUCUACUAUGUCCUUUGCCAUGUGUGUCAGGAAAUCCUCAUGAAGAGCCUCUCAGCUUCAACUUGAACGUGAAUAUGAGCAACUGAUCAUCUGUUCUGCAGUCAGCCCCUGGCCUGCUUCUGACUCAUGAUAUUGACCUUCUCCAUCAUCACCUUCCACAAAUUUGAUUCCUGUCUAUUCUGCCUGGAAUGGUUCAUGAGUAUAGUCACCGUUUAUGUUCCUGAUGAAAGCUUAAAUACAGACCAGAAGAGGAGUUUGGGGCUUGACACCUGACAUCUUAACACCAGUUCCUGUUUCUUGAGGAAGGAAGAGGUAAAAUAAAUCAGCGUUUACUGUUUCCUUCUCCAUCCCCGGAAGUCCUGAUGAAGACCCUCUCAGAGAUGCAGCACACACAGAAUCCCAGCUGGAUUACAGACUUGAACCUGAAGACCUUAUGCAGAAUGACUAUUUAUGAACCACUAAGCUUAGUAUUAAAGCAGGUACUUACUCCUCAGAGAAGGCCCUGGGGGAGGUUGAUACGUGCAUACCCCAGUGCUCCUGCUGUUCUAGAAGUGCCUGAAAUGCCUCUCUGGGAAAGGCCUUCAGAUUAGGCUCAUGGCCCAGGUGGGAAUUCAGGCCUAUUUUUCUGUUAGAACAUCUCAUUUCGCUCUGAAAAUGUUAUUAUCCAGUUUAUUCACCAGACAUGAGUACAGACAUCUCAUAUUUUCCAAAUUAAUCCCAUUCUCUAAUACUAAUUUGCCACCAAGAGUAUAUUCCAAAGUGUUUCCAAUAGGCUAGAAAGUCUUUCCAAAGAGGGGAGUCCUGCGCCAUGUUGUGCAGUGACAGCAGGGUUGGCAUAAUAUGUUUACCCAGAUACCUACCACUUUUUAAAAAUUUUCUAUUGUGUUUUAUUUGAAACUUUACAGAGCAAAUUACUUUCUUGUUCAGCCAUUUAUGCACAAUUGUUUUGUGACAUUGGUGGCAAUAUUCAUGAUGUGUCAGUAUUCUCUUCUAUGCUCUAGUUCCCCGUUUCCAUCCGCCAUGAUUCCUGUUCCAUCCUGCCCUCUUUUCUGUGCUUUUGGGCAGGUUUUGCACUUUUGGUCUCAUACACACGAUUGAACUAAGAAACACUUUCUUCACGUGUGUUAUUGUUUGUUUUAUAGACCUGUCUAAUCUUUGGCUGAAGGGUGAACUUCAGAAGGUACUUUCGACUUUGUUGCUUUCCAUAAUUCCUGAAAUUCCAAGUCUACCACCUGAAGAACUUCCUUUAGUGUUUCAUUUAGAACAAGUCUGGUGGCGAUGAAUUCUCUUAAGCGUCCUUCACCUGAGAAUGUCAAUAUUUUUCCUUUACUCAUGAAGGAAAUAACAGCCUAUAGAAUACUGGGUUAAUGUUUCUUUUCUUUCGGUGUUGAAAAAAUGUUGUUUUCACAGCCUUUUGGCCUCCAUGGCUUCUGAUGAUGAAUACGGAGUCAUUCCAAUUGUUUUUCCUGUGUGAAAUGAGUUGUUUUCUCUCUAGCUUCUUUGAAGAUACUUUCUUGGUCCUUGUUAUUCCACAAUUGACCGUGAGGCAUUUGGGCGUAAAAUUAUGUGAGUUUAACUUGUUGGAGUUUGCAUAGCUUCUUGAAUCUGUAAGUUUAUGUCUUUCAACAAAUUGGGAAAGUGUUGAGCCAGUAUUUCUUCAGAUACUUUUUUCUACACCACAUAUUUUCUCUACACCUUAUGGAAUUCCAAUAAAUAAAUGUUAGAUAUUUUUGGAUUAUUUUGAGGCUCUGUUCAUUUUUUUUUCAGAUUGGAUAUUUUCAGUUGAACUGUUUUCAUCUCAUUGAUCCUUUUGUCUGUCAACAGCAUUCCGCUGUAGAGCUGAUCAAGUGAAUUAUUUAUCUCUAUUUUUCUAUUUUUCCUGUCUAAAAUUUUCAUUUGUGAAUGGUUUCUAUGUAUUUUUCUGUUUUUCUAAGGUGUGCCUGUUACUUCUUUGAGCAUGGUUAAAGUAGCUUUUUAAAGUUUUUGUCUAUGAUUCCAAGACUUACAGAAAAUGUUGAUGUUGUUUGUUUUAGGAAUCACUUGACCCAGUUAUGUUCAGGUUGCAGGUUCUUUCCCACCUUCUGUAUGCUGUGGCUCAGAUGUCGGUUCAGAUUUUGAAGACUUUGCGGUGAUAUUUGGAUGUAAUCUAUGGGAGUGUCACCCAGUCUGGGACCUUGUUGGUGUUCUAACCCAUAAUGCAGUUCUCAAAGGAUUGAUCUACUUCUUAGGGUCAGAGCAAAGCAUAUGCAACUAUGGGGGGGGGUAUGAAAAACAACUUUAUGGUAUCCCUCUCUUGAGCCGCCUCUUCUCUGUCUCUCUGAGGCUCUCUGAUGUCUGAGCAGCUACCUUCCUGGUCCACUGGCAAGAAUGUAGGGGCUUUAAUCUCUUCAUUCUGCUGUGCAAUUAAGUGACUGGGUCUGCCUAUGAGGCCAAAUAACGGUAAGAUGGAGAAAAUGUAACAGAGAUUCCUCUAUAUUAUUUGGUCCUUAUAUACUUAGGUCAGAGAGAAGGCACACUGUUUCUGGUGAUACUUCGAAACAGGUAUGGAGAAAAAGGCAUUAACAGGUCGAUAGCUGCAUACUAGGUGUUACGGAUUAAAUUCUGUCUUCCCAAAAUGUAUAUAUCAGCUUGACUAGGCUAUGCUUCCCAGUAUUGUGCGAUUAUCCACCAUUUUGUCAGCUGAUGUGAUUUUCCAAUGUAUUGUAAAUCCUACCUCUAUGAUGUUAAUGAUCGAGGAUUUGAAGCAGUUAUGUUAAGGAGGCAGGGCUCAAUCUACAAGAUUAAGUUGUGUUUUAAGUCCAUCUCUUUUGAGAUAUAAAAGAGAAAAGAGCAGAGAGACAGGGGGACCUCAGUACCACCAAGAAAGAAGUGUCAGGAGCAGUGCAUCCUUUGGACCUAGGAUCCCUGUGCUGAGAACCUUCUUGUCCAGGGGAAGAUUGGUGACAAAGACCUUCCCCUAGGAGUGACGGAGAAAAAAAGCCUUCCCCUGGAAUUGGCACCCUGAAUUUGGACUUACAGAGCCUCCUGGACUGUGAGGGAAUAAUUUUCUUUGUUAAAGUCAUCCGUUUGUGGUAUUUCUGUUACAGGAGCGUUAGAUGUCUAAGACACUAGGUACCAGGAGAUGUACAUUUCCCAGUUCUUUCACUCCCAGGGACACUAUGACUAAGUAGCCAAUGCCAUAAAUCCAUGCGAGCAGACUAUUCUGAUUACUGCUUUGACUCUACUGUCUGUUAUGGUAACCACACCCAUCUUGUCUUUGUUGAUUGAGUGCCACCACUUGGCUGCUACCACCAUGGGCUCCAGUCAACUGCAUUGUAGUUAGGUGUCUUAAUUCAGUUAGGGCAGUUCUCACUGUGGACUCUUACUUACAUAAAAUAGCAACCACAGAAGUCUUCAGUAAUGCUGGGGCUUGCUUCCCAAAUUUGUACCUCACCGCUAUGGUAAAAAGAGAGCCCCCUGGGCACUCCGUGUGUGGGUCUGUGGGUCCAGCCUAAUAAAUCCAUUCUAACAUUCCAAUUUCCCUCAGCCUUUGGUUACCUUCUCCUACAUUAUACAAUGGCAGAUCUGCCAUUUCCACUUGAUUUAUUGUAGGCCACCACUUAUUCCAUGCUUCAGUAAACCAACCAAAUAAACUAUGAGAUCCUUUUCUAACCUCUCAAGCUGAAACACUGAAUGAAGAAUCUAUGCUUCCUGGGCCUAUAUCAAUAAACUCAGACUAAUCCACCUUUAUGUUGCUUGCACCAUUAUCCCACACCUGGAAUAGCCAUUCCCACACAUAUUCACCAGGUUUCUGUAUGUAUAUAUUAGAAAAAUCAAGCAGUUCUUUAGGAGUUUAGCAUACCUUCUCCUGGGUCACACUUUAUAGUUCACCUUUGGGGGCUUGUUGGGACUGAAGCCUAGGUAUAGGUCUAGAAGCAAAAAUGGGUGGUGGCAGUGGGAUGUUCAGCCGUGUCUUAUAAGGCAUCUGCCUAAGGUGAUGCCCCAGGCAAUGCCCCAGACACCACCCCAGGAGACAACUCAAACAAGACACUUCAGGCACAGCUGGGGUAAUCUCAUCAGAUGGAGGUGGAAGGGAUAAUUGUUUUACUGGGAAGGGUGCCUUAGCAGGCAAAGUUAGAGAAUCUCUUCAGAUGGUAGUAAAAGAUCUGGUUCUGUUAGGAAGAGCGAUUCAACAGAAAUUGGAGGUUCAUUGUCCCCCGCUUUCUGACUGUCUGCCCAUAUGUCCUCAUCCCAAGUUUCAGGAUCCCAUUUCUUCCCAAUCAAUGCCCUCACUCUAACUUCAGACACCAUUUGAGGUCGGAUAUUCAACCGGCGCUUUAAUUCAGUCACUCUUAUGAUAAGAAUCUGAGUUUAUUUUUGGCAGCAUUAGCCUUGUUACUAUAAGAAAUAUGGUUUUCUUUCUGGGCACAGGUGGCAGCUUUCAGAUCUUGUAUAUGGUGCUUGAGCUUUGAGUCCAUUUCUUUCAUUCACCAGUGUGGCUAGCAAAAGCAGGACCAACCAAGCAGCUUCCUUAUUAUUCUUAUGCUGACAAAAUUAUAGAAAAGUAUCAAAUAUAUAAUCAGGCAGAGCCUUGUCUCUCACAAAUAUUUGAUCCAGUGGUAGUAGUAUUUUGCGUAUUUCUAUUGUCACCUCCACCAUGGAUUAGCAAUAGCCUGUUUACUCCUGGAGACAGUCAUCAGUGCCUUUAAGAUUAGCCAGACUUGAGAAUCAAUUCAGAAAACUCAUCCUUAAGAUUUGGUUCCUCUAGAACCAGUGUAGGUACCAAAUGUCUUAGCCUGGGAUCUCUAGAGGUGCAAAACUAGUGAAGAGAACAUAUAUAUAUAUACACACACACACACACAUAUAUAUGAGUGUGUGUGUAUAUAUAUGUGUGUGUGUGUGUGUGUGUAUGGAAACCCUAGUCGCAUAAUGGUUAAUAGCUAUAGCUGCUAACCAAAAGGUUAGCAGUUCGAAUCCACCAGGCGCUCCUUGGGAACUCUGUGGGGCAGUUCUACUCUGUCCUGUAAGGUCACUAUGAGUUGGAACUGACUUGACGGCAAUGGGUAUAUAUAUAUAUACAUACACACACACACGCACACAUACAUAUAUAUACGCAUACAUAUGUUAGUUGUGGCUGUUAGAUGCCAUCGAUCCUGUGUAAAACAGAAUGAAACACUGCCUGAUCCUGAACCAUCCUCACAAUCAUUGCUAUGUUUGAGCCCAUUCUUGCAGCCAUUGUGUCAGUUCAUGUUGUUGAGCACCUUCCUCUUUUUUUCUGACCCUCAGCUUCUCCAAGCAUGAUGAGCCUCUCCUGGGACAGGUCCCUCCUGAAAAUAUGUCCAAGGCACGUGAGACGAAGUCUCGCCAUCCUUGCUUCUAAGGUGCAUUCUUGGUGUACUUCUUCCCAGAUGGAUUUGUUUAUUCUUCUGGCAGUCCAUGGUAUAUUCAGUAUUCUUUGCCAACACCAUAUUUUAAAUGAAUCAGUUCUUUGGUUUUCCGUAUUCAUUGUCUAACUUGCUCAAGCAUGUGAGGUGAUAGAAAAUAUCAUGGCUUUGCUCAGGCACACCUUAGUCCUCAAAGUGACAUCUUUCUUUCUCAACACUUUAAGGAGGUCUUUUGCAAUAGAUUUGCCCAGUGAAAUACAUUGUUUGAAUUCUUGACUGCUGCUUCUGUGGGCAUUGAUUAUGGAUUCAAGUUAAAUGAAAUGCUUGAUGACUUCAGUGUUUUCUCUAUUUAUCAUGGUGUUGCUUACUGGUCCAGUUGUGAGUAUUUUUGUUUUCUUUAUGUUGAGGUGUAAUCCAUACUGAAGGGUGUAGUGGUUGCUCUUCAUCAGUAACUGCUUCAAGUCCUCUUUACUUUCAGCAAGCAAGGUCGUAUCAGCUGCAUAUCAUAGGUUGUUAGUGAAUCUUUCUCCAAAACUAAUGCCAUGUUCUUCUUACAGACCAGCUUCUCAGAUUAUUUGCUCAGCAUACAGAUUGAGUAAGUAUGGUGAAAGGAUACCACCAUGACACAUAACUUUCUGAUUUUAAACCACACAGUAUCCCCUUGCCCUACUCAAAUGACUGCCUCUUGGUCUAUGUACAUAUUCCGCAUGAAUACAGUUAAGUGUUCUGGAAUUCCCAUUCUUUGCUAAGCUAUCCAUAAUUUGUCAUGAGCCACACAGUUGAGUGUGCUUGUAUAGUAAACAAAAAUAGGUAAACAUCUUACUGAUAUUCUCUACUUUCAGCCAAGAUCCAUCAGACAUCAGAAAUGAUAUCCCAUGUUCCAUGUCUUCCUCUGAAUCCAGCUUGAAUUUUUGGUAGUUCCCUGUCUGUGCACUGCUGCAACUGUUUUUAAAUUAUAUUCAGCAAAAUUUUUCUUGCGUCUGAUGUUAAUGACAUUGCUUGAUAAUUUCCGCAUUGUGUUGGACCACCUCUCUUUGAAUGGGCACACAUAUAGAUCUCUUUCAGUCAUUUGGUCAGGUAGCUGUCUUCCAAAUAUAU